GGUCCUUCCUACGAAUUAGCCACCUCGUAAAAUACCUACGAUUUUCCCCAGUUCACGAUUUUAUUUUUUUGCAUUUCGCAUCGUGCAUUUGAGCGUGUUUGUGGAGAGGAAAACAAUCCCCAUAAUUGACUGUUUUCUGAGUAACUCCAGUAAGUUGCUCUCUGUGUUGAUUUUUAGUUGUAUGUAGAGGGCGGGACUCGAACUGAAAGGAACAAGGCGCGGCCAAGAACCCCUUCACACGUGUAGACAAAGAGACCAUCAACACAACCCAAACAUGCUGGAAAAGUUUUCCCGCGCGCUACCUCACGCCAGGACCUCGCGAAGCGCCCAGGCCAGCACGCACUGGAGAGCUCCUGUUCUAAACGCACGUCCUUUGAAGGAUUUAUUUAAUUAUUUUUCUGCUGUGGGAUUAUUGGACUAUCCGUAAUGAGAAUGAUUGCUUUCCACUUCUAGACACAGUGGAGCAACUAAAGGUCACGGUCUCUUCUGCAUAUGAAUGCGCUUUGGAAGAGCUCCACAUUCAGACCAGCAUUACCAAUUGUCCUGACAGUGUACCUUGGUUCUCACAGCCGGUGGAGUACAGGCUUAGUUUGAGUUCUCGGUGUCUGUCGUCCAGAGAUAAGUCAACAUGCUCUGACUGAGCACUGCGA
rnacentral:lncRNA from 1 species